GUGGAUUAGAUACCCUGGUAGUCCACGCCGUAAACGAUGAUAACUAGCUGUCCGGGGACCUGGUCUUUGGGUGGCGCAGCUAACGCAUUAAGUUAUCCGCCUGGGGAGUACGGCCGCAAGGUUAAGACUCAAAGGAAUUGACGGGGGCCUGCACAAGCGGUGGAGCAUGUGGUUUAAUUCGAAGCAACGCGCAGAACCUUACCAGCGUUUGACAUGUCCGGACGAUUUCCAGAGAUGGAUCUCUUCCCUUCGGGGACUGGAACACAGGUGCUGCACGGCUGUCGUCAACU
rnacentral:rRNA from 1 species